rnacentral:rRNA from 1 species
UACAGAGGUGGCAAGCGUUGUUCGGAAUUACUGGGCGUAAAGGGCGCGUAGGCGGCCUGUUAAGUCGAACGUGAAAUCCCCGGGCUCAACCCGGGAACUGCGUCCGAUACUGGCAGGCUUGAAUCCGGGAGAGGGAUGCGGAAUUCCAGGUGUAGCGGUGAAAUGCGUAGAUAUCUGGAGGAACACCGGUGGCGAAGGCGGCAUCCUGGACCGGUAUUGACGCUGAGGCGCGAAAGCCAGGGGAGCAAACGGG